CGAGCGGUAACAGAUCCAGCUUGCUGGAUGCUGACGAGCGGCGGACGGGUGAGUAAUGCAUAGGAAUCUGCCCGAUAGUGGGGGAUAACCUGGGGAAACCCAGGCUAAUACCGCAUACGUCCUACGGGAGAAAGGGGGCUCCGGCUCCCGCUAUGGGAUGAGCCUAUGUCGGAUUAGCUAGUUGGUGAGGUAACGGCUCACCAAGGCCACGAUCCGUAGCUGGUCUGAGAGGAUGAUCAGCCACAUCGGGACUGAGACACGGCCCGAACUCCUACGGGAGGCAGCAGUGGGGAAUAUUGGACAAUGGGGGAAACCCUGAUCCAGCCAUGCCGCGUGUGUGAAGAAGGCCCUCGGGUUGUAAAGCACUUUCAGCGAGGAAGAACGCCUAGCGGUUAAUACCCGCUAGGAAAGACAUCACUCGCAGAAGAAGCACCGGCUAACUCCGUGCCAGCAGCCGCGGUAAUACGGAGGGUGCAAGCGUUAAUCGGAAUUACUGGGCGUAAAGCGCGCGUAGGUGGCUUGAUAAGCCGGUUGUGAAAGCCCCGGGCUCAACCUGGGAACGGCAUCCGGAACUGUCAAGCUAGAGUGCAGGAGAGGAAGGUAGAAUUCCCGGUGUAGCGGUGAAAUGCGUAGAGAUCGGGAGGAAUACCAGUGGCGAAGGCGGCCUUCUGGACUGACACUGACACUGAGGUGCGAAAGCGUGGGUAGCAAACAGGAUUAGAUACCCUGGUAGUCCACGCCGUAAACGAUGUCGACCAGCCGUUGGGUGCCUAGCGCACUUUGUGGCGAAGUUAACGCGA
rnacentral:rRNA from 1 species